CCGUGACACAGCAAGUUGUUACUGUACUUUCAGAAGAGAAAAUCAGAUUUUAUCAGUUUAUGCAUCUGCAAAACAUCCAUGAAAUGAUUCAUUUGCAUUUCAAAUAAAAGUGCCAGUGUGUCCGGACAGGUAACAGGGCUCUCUAAUAUCUCACCCCAAACAUGGAACGGAUGAAAACUGAGUUUAAAUUCUCUCUUUAAUUCACUCAGAUUUUAUCUGUCUUUCUUCUUGUCGCUCUUUUCUUUGACUCCCUUAAUCCAGAAAACUUCAAUAUACACACAGAACUUUUUCACUAAGUUGAACGAUUUUACAUUUUGUAAAUACUUCCUGUGUAAAUUCACCCAAGGCCAGGCAUUAUAUGCUUUUGCGCCUCCUUUAAAUUUCUGUUUGCUUUCCAUAAGAACAGAGCAGGAAACUAAGUCAAACAUGAAAUAUAUUAAAAGCUGGUCUCCGGGAAAGCACUGUCAAAUAUAUCCUUAGUAACAGCAGUUCAGGGAUGAGGGUGUGGAUGAAUCCUGAAAUAUGUACAACCAGAACUUUUAAAAACAGCAAUUUUUUUGACAAAUUUGGACAAAUAAGUUUCAUUUUGGAUGAAUGUCUCAAAAACUACAAGUUUCGGAGUUGGCUGCCAAAGUCAAAAUAAAGAAAAUCUAUAAACCAAAAAGGCUUCUGAACAUUAGCAGAAUUUUUUAGUAAAUGUCACAAAUUUGCUACCAAAAGUUUACAAAGCAGUCUGUUUCCUCAAAUUAUGAAGACACAUGAAUAUGGACAACAAGUUUUUCAAGAUGGAGAUUCAAUGGCAGCAAAAUUAGAAGUUUGGGGAAAUGCUGACGGCUUCACCUCUAUUGCAGUUCUACAAAAAGAUAUUGCAUGCUGCACAAAAGCCAGAAUGUAAGUGUGAAGGAACAGAGUAUAAUCCUGUGGUCACAGUGUUUAGAUCUUAACCAAUGCUACAUGGAUGUGGUGACAUCUCUGACUCCAUGAAGAUCUCUCUAAACCUAAAUGUUGUAUUUGUCCUGCUUUUUGGAUUUAAAACAAUUGCAUGAAACGAACGCUAUCAUGCUUGCAGAGUUUUAUUUGCAGUUGUAUUUUCAGGCUUUAGGAUCGUGGACCAAGCAGGAAAUUGAGAUUAAGAGAAACUGGGGCGUGACAUGCAGGAAAAAGGCUGCAGGUCCAGAUUUAAAAUCCCACUCUGAUCAUUUUUUUUCUCUUUUUUUUUUUUGACUACUUUAAGUGUUCUCAGCGGUCGUUAAAUUGAGAUUAUGAGGUUUUUAGCCAAAAUUACAUUACCUGUGUCAUUUUCAGUGUCUUCUCUUCUGCAGAGCUCCAGUAGACAGCGCUGUUCUGCACACUCCUCUUCACGCUAGCUUGUAGCCUAACAUUGUCAGUGUAGAAGAAGUGGCAGGUAACAUAGGAGAUAUUCAGCUCUCAGACACUAAUGUCUUCAGGGUCAUGAUGAAACUUAAUAUUACGGUUAGCUUUCUAACAAGCAUUGCAAUCCACUAACACACACACUUGUACUGCAAUUGUCCUCUCUAAUUUUCCGAGUCUGGCCUGCAUAGCGGGGCUCAGGGGGCAGAGCUUGGAGUUGUGAUGUAGAAAAUCUCACUGUGUCUGAGCCUACCCUUUGGGUGUGUGAGAGAUUCACAUUGAUUUGAAUGCAGAAAUACUCAGAAAUGCAAUUUUGCACUUAUUUUUCUCAUGAUAUGUCCUGUAGCAUCAGAAAAAUGUCAUAUAAACAUGUAGACAACAAGAAAAACAUGAUUUUCAUCGGAGUGGGUCUUUAACUGGGCUGCCCACUUGAGAACUUUGGCCUCUAUUGGGCGCACCACUUUACCAUUGGUGCUUUAUAGAAGUUUAAUAAAACAAACAACAGUGGUAUUUGUGAACAUGAUACUUACACUAACGACAAGAGAAACAUAAAGUUUAUAAUACCAAGUUUGCACCGCUGAUAAAAACCGCUUGUCCCCGGUUGUGUCUGUCAGAACUGGUCGUCAUUUAAAGGGCCCUCUUGCCGGCAGACUUCGUUAAAAAAAUGUCACAUCACAUACACGUACUGUGAUAAGAAGCCCUGAGUGUGUGCACACACAGUCUGUUUGGCUUUCUGUUCAGUCGGUCUGAUUGUGAAUGACAGGAACUACUUAUGCAGACCAUUUUUAUAUCCAAUCUGGACUCCAAUCAGUUUAUCUCUCAGCCGCUCCUCACGCUGACAACUUGUUCGUCUUAUCUCCUCAACACUCAAUCUCCUGUGUCUCAUGUGGCUGGAGAGAAAAAAGACUCAUUUACAUCCAGGACAGCUUAUCAGUCAGCUUUUUUUGAUCACUGUGCUAGAUUACUGUGAUUUGCAGAAGAAAUGCAUCCCUCAAAAUUGCUUCAAAUUGAUGUAAAAUAUACCACAACAUGAGGAUUUUUGAGGCAAUUUGGAGAGUCUAAAGCCUUAGUUUUCUCCUCCAACAGUCUGCAAGUGUCGUUGAAUGAACAGAGUGCUCCCGAGUUUCUUACCUGAACCACUGAGCAUCUUUUCCCGUCGUCCCUGCCUGUGCCUGCUCUCUUUUUUUCACCAGCAGAUGCCCCGUAAUGCAAUUGCAAGUCAGGCAGCAUCCAGCGCAUUACUCACUCCAUUAGCUACGGAAAGAAUAAGAAAAAAAACACCAACAUUUCAGAAUUUUAUCAACAAAUAUACAAGCAUUAAGUCAGAAUAUAUUACAGAGAUGGGCCAGAGGAGAACGGAAGAAAAGAAGAGGGUGGUAUUGAUUCGAGGAGAGUUUUUCUCCUUUUUUCCCCAUGAUUUCGUUUCCAGGCUGCAAAAAUCCAAGAAAAAUGAAAAGACUUUUCUGUUACCCUGGCAUUACUGAAAUAUUUCAGACCAAUAGAUGCUGUUUUCUUUCACACUCUUACUUUGAAUUAAUCGCUAGAUGAGAGAAGACAAGAAUGCCAGAGCCUCCAAAUGAGCAAAACCCUCACAUAUGCAGUUUUCUCUGGCAUAAUGAAUUGGACAUAAAGUCGACUUUUCUUGGAAAAAGACACAAGUCGUAUCCAUCUUAGCAGUGUUUUUGGGCAGAGAGAGUAGGUGGACGUGGUGUGGUGUGUUUUCGCCUGGACGGAGUUUACGUUAAAGGGAUAUUCCAGCGUAAAUUAGGUUAUAUAUUCCGGCGUGAAUUAGGUUAUGGUCAAACUCACCGUUACACCGAGUUAGACACCCCCUCCAGAGAUGAAUGUUGCCGACUGCUUGCUUCUCUAGUUAUACCAACUUUAGUAACGACCGCAUGAAACACAGCGGUCUACAUCUCAACACGCAAACCUCAACCAGGGGGAGCCCUGACGAGUUGAUCACCGAGUGCAGUAGAUUAUUUCCAUGAAGUAAUAAUCAUCAAUGUGAGGAUGCCUAGCCCAGGUUCACACUUGAAAGAAUGGAAGGUCCACACGAAUGAUCAGUUUGACAAGAUUUAAUGGCUGCAGAUCUGGGUUACAGCUUCAUCCUGCCACAAGUGUAACAAAGACUGGUUUGAGCCUGUACAAGUACAUAUAGCCAUCCAUUUUUCCAAGCAUUCUGCUGGUAUUUAGUUGACCUGAAGAAGAGUCCAUGUAGGGUAAGAACAAAGGACAAUAUAAUUUAAGGAGCCUUAGUUGAACCUGAGUGAUGUCAAAAAUGUGUACAAGGUUUUUUGUUGAGGAUGGUUGUCGAAGGCCCGUGGCUCCAGGAAUCUAACACCAACGUAUCCAUGGUAUCUGAGUUACAUAGCUCCACCGCCCUAAAGGCUGAUGGGAUUGGCUAAAGAAAAUUCUCCUAACAAUCAUAUUUAUCAUCAUCUCAGUCAAAUUGCAUUUCCAUGAAGUAGUAAUCAUAAAUGUUCUUCCUUGAGCUGUGAAACUCCGCUGCACUCUGUGAUCGACUUGUCAGGGAUGCCCCCACAAACAAGCGGCUGCUGGAGGAGAGUGGGUGAGUUGUGUUUAGUCUCUUUGCUAAAGAAAUUAGGCAAAGUUAAAAAGAUGUUUGGUGGCUAGUACUAUGGCUGGGACCCUAUAUGUCCUGUUGAUGAAAUUAGGUGCUGGUCUGAGCAUUAUUAGUGGCUAUAGAGUAGCGUUUUGGUUGAGGUUUGCAAGUGGAAACAUUGACUGCUGUGUUACAUUGAUUGCUAUCCUGCGGUCGUUACUAAAGUUGGUAUCACUAAAAAAGCAAGCAGUGGGCAACAUUCAUCUCUCAAAGGGGGUGUCUAACUUGAUGUGUUUCCAUGUGUUUGACCCUUACUUAAUUUUACGCCAGAAUAUCCCUAUAAAGGCUUUUUAUAGACUUUUGGCUGCACGUGCAUUUGACAAGCACACACAGAUAUCAUCAGCAAAACGGUUUGGUGGAAAAAAAUAGCUAAUUCAAGAUUGGUCCAGACAGUUUUAGCACCUGAGUUACACGUAGAAAAGUGAGGUCUUCUUCUGCUGUUGGGCCUCACUUGGCAGUCUGGACAGUGUAGCCACACACCAUGUGCACGGAUCGACUCGGAGGUCCAGAGGAAAGAGUGGAAGCUGCAUACUGUCCUGCUGAAUGAAAAAACAGAUCGUUGGUUCGACCUGUUCUGGGAGGAAAAAUUGCCGAAUCUUUGCUUCAGUAAAAAAAGGUGGGAGCAGGGUUAAAGGUCAGCCAGAACAUAGCAAGUGCAAGAGACUCUACAGUCAGGAAAUUCCAGCAAUGGAAACCAGCAUCUUUUUUAAAACAAUGAAAUAUUGAUAUUCUGCUUGAAAAUGAGCAGAUGGCAUGUCCACAUAACUAGCUGGGUCACAGGAGUGCGAGAUAGGAAAUGAAGUGAGGGGGAAGGAGAAGCAACAGCUGAAAAAAAAAAAGAAAAAUAGACUCAGUAACCGGAAAGCAAACUAGCCUUUAGCGGUGUGUGGCUAUUACUACAGCGUUAAUCAUGUUGGUGGACGUGAUAGAUGAGAGUGAGGCUCUCUAUCCUCUGAAAAAGUUUCUUCGACAGUUUGGGGGGAAAUUCGUAAACAAAGAUGGGGUGUUUGUGAAGGUGUCACAAAGAAAUGGAUGAUGGCAAGUUUCUUCACAGGGAUGCAAACUGCUUCAUCGAGCUACAGCAUGAAGAGAAACAACAAAAAUUGAUACGAAAAUAAAGGAUCGUAUGUGCGUGUUUUAUUUCUUUUCCUAAAGAUGGUGAACUCUUGAAGACACUGGCAAACCCAAAGAAAAAAAGAAACAUAUUUAAAAUUCUCUUAAAGAUAAAGAGUCAGUGGUGGAUUAUAAUACAAGAGGAUCAUUAAUAUGGUUUUCAAAGUCGAGUCUGACACAUCAAUGUGUUAACGUUGGCUGCUACUCUUGCAAUUUGCUGGCUGGCUUGAGAAUUUCUUUAGUUUUUUAUUUGGAAGGGAUUCUCUCAAUCACAAUAAAAGGCUGAAAUUGCAUGAAUAUUUAAGCACUCCAGACAGUUUUUAAAAAAAUACUUGGAGCUUUAUUCUUUUACCAAAAGAGCGCUGCAUUUAGGCGAUUUUUCUUCUUGUCUCUGACGCUUUUAUCCGAGGCGGUGGUUGGACCGAGAUCCUUUUGUUGGAGCAGACUUUCAAAAGUUGCCUUUGAAUCCUCAGAAUUGAUAAAAACAGAGACGAUCUGAAGAUUAAAACCUCUAAAAAUUACGUAUUCUUUUUUUUACCAAAGCCUAAAACACUCCAACUUUUCUCAUUAAGUAUUACCAAAGCGCCGUUAGCCUCUCAGAGCUGAGCUGUGGAGGGGCAUCAGCUCCGAUUGCUCCCUGGCCUGAAUGGAGCUGCACACACACAUACACACACACACUCACACACUCACAGGGGCAGCAGUGGGCAGGUGCAGGAAAAGGCCCUGAUAAUUGGCUGGCUAGAGUGUCCGGGCCUCCUUUGGGGCUGGGCUGUGACUCCUGAGGAAGACACACAAAAUGAGCUACUGCAUCAAAAAUUGAGGUUGGCAACCUCCAUGCACGUCUGGGCGAUUUUUCAAAUGAGCAUUUCUGGGCCCCAGAGGAACCUGCGGCGCUCCUGCUAUCAUAAGCAAUUGGAAUAGAAAUGGACACAAAAUACUUUUUUGCUGGCGUGCAUAAGUAGGUUGGGCAAGAGGGCAAGCUGUGAUGUUCAAAGAGUGUCGGAUAAGAGAGCAGGAACAAAAGGAGACACUUGUAUUAUUUUCUAAAGAAAUGAGGUUAGCAUUUUUGUUGCUGUCGUUUCCCUUUUAAGCCGCUCAUUUCCUUUUCCUGUUCUUUAAAGAAGAAAAGGAGAUCAGAGAAAAUGAGGCUUCGAGUCCUUAUAAAAACUGUAAGGACUGCGUGGAGCAUCCUGCUGCCGCUGACGGAGCUUUGAAAGCCCAAAGCAGAAAUAGCUCACUUACACAUCACAGUUUCUAAACCUCUUUUAAAGUUUGAUGCAUGUUUCUGUAGUCAAGAGUGUUAUCAGCUUCCUUUUAGUCCAAAAACACGAGCCUCUGAAUUGUUUGGAGUUGCUUCUUAUAGUUUAGCGAAAGAGUGUAAUUGCAGUUUAUUCCUGAACUUUCUGUUGAUAACAAAUUCUCAUGACUGAAAGUGCGCACGAUUCCAGGUUGGAUUUCACCAAAUUGGUUUAAGAUUCGAUGUAAUUGCUUAAAUGUGGGUGAUAUGACACUUAUACACCCGCACCUGGCUCUCAAGUGCAGCAUAUGGGAGCUGAAAAAAGGAAAGAAAUCAAAGCAGAUGCAACUAAAAACAUUCAGGGACAGAGACGAGGGAGACAAGUAUGGCUGUGUCCGUGAGAAAAUCUCUUUGAAAACAGCUGUUUUUAGAGCAAAAAUAAACAUAUUCGAAAAAAGGUUUUAGUCUGAGUAGCUCAGCGAUCCUAUGAGAGGUGAAUUUCUUUGUAUUACCUUUAUUUUGAAGUCACCGACACUACAUUCAUUUUUUAUACAGCCUUCACAACUGUGGCGCCUGUCAUGUCAGAGGAGAUGAUAUAUAAAUAAGGCCAGGUAGAUCCUCACUGGAGUCAGGGUUGUCCUGGUUGAAUCAAAACAACCCUGACUCCAGCGUGGAUCUACUUAGCUUCACUCUCAUAAGAUCAGACAGAGAUGCUAAAGCUUGUGGCAAGAAGAAAAAGAGGAGGUCUGGCUAUAUUUGUCAACCAGAGAUGGUGUAACUCUUCACAAAUAACCAUCAAGAAGAAGUUGUGUUGUCCAGAUAUCGAACUGUUGGCAGUCGCUCUUCGGCUUUAUCAUGUUCUCACGGAGUUCAGUCAUAUCAUAACAAUACUUAUUUGCAUCCCACCCAAGGCAACGGCUGAAGUUCAUUGUGAUGUUCCCGAUUAUACUGUUGCUAGGAUACAGACUCAACACCCUGAGGCACUAAUAAUAAUAUCAGUUGACUUCAAACAAGUCAAACAAAAAAUGUCGCAGAAAUGAACAACCCACCAACCAACAAACCAAUCAGUCAUUACGUUCAUAGCGCUGAUACCUAACGGUCGUUAUCUGAAGACACUUUAGACAGCGAUAACAUGUCAGAAGGUCAGCUGGGUUUUGAAGCAAAUGCCAACUUGUAUCAGCUGAUAACCUUUUGUGCAUCCAGUGGUCAGAUGUGCUCAGUUUUUCCAUGUAAAAGAGGGACAAAUACAAAAGAGGCCUUUUAAUUUUUCUGCCUUGAAUGAUGUAAAUAUACUUUUAAAUAAAACGUAAUUUUCUCAGCAUUUUUUGAUGAAAAUAACACAUUUUAAAAUACCGAUAGAAUAAAAUAAAAGUGGUUUUGUCUUUCCUGUGAUGCAUUUAUUGAUUACAUUUUGUAAAGACAAGAUUUUGGGAGCUUGACAGUUCACUAGAGUUGGUCAGGUAAAGAGUUAAACAGGUAAAGAGGCCUUUUAGCUUGUAUCGGGUGUUGUGUUUGUUUCAAAGAUCGUCGCUCUCAAAAUGUUGCUGUUUUGAUCUCCAGUUUCUGAAGUAAACACAGUUUUGAGCUGUUUAUUAUGUUCUAUUAGCGUGAUCAAAGCUUCUGCUAAGAGUGAGUGUAAAGCGGUGAGGCUGUCAGGAUCACAUGAUGAACAUGAUGGAUAUAAGUCCAAAAUUAAACCCAAUUAGCCUGCAUGACUAUCUUAAUUGAUUGUUAACAUUUUGGACUCCUGCUUAACGUCGACUUUUAUCUCUGAGUGUGUUCGAGCAGGUGCUUUUCAGCUAAAAAAAAUGUAAAUGAGAGUUGGUGAAAGGAGGAUUUGAUUUAUGAAAAACCAAAACCGUGUCCCAGAGGAGCUCUUUACAGAUGAGAGUUAGGUGACUCUGGUUUCACCUUCGUGCUGCUUUAACAGUCCAGGAUCAACACAGCGUGGCUGCAAUGUUUCCACAGUUAGAUCAAGGGAUUCAGAUCAUUCCUCUCUUUUAUGCCAAAUAUUUUAUUCACUUUGGGGCAAUACUAAAAUCUGAUGAUUUAGGGGGAAAAAAAGCUGGCCUCAGAUCCAGUUUGCUUGUCACGCCUGAGCAGAACUUGGCAGAGCUGAUUGAGGGACACAUUUGCAUUUGGCCGACCAAAUCACUAUUUUUAUGGACCCCUUUUGCAAUUACAUAUUCUCUGUGUUAAUGUAACUUUCAGAUGGAAUUAGUUCUUUAUGUGCUCCGAUGCUUGUAGUCCAUUAAUUUAGUUUUAUUGCCGCUAAAUUAGAUUCACUUACCCCCUCUGGCAAGGCGGCGUAAUAUGCAUAAAAAUAACUUAUACCCCUAAACAUUUGUUCACAAAAUAUUCAGCUCAAGCACUCAGCAGGUAGGCCGCGUGAAUGUCAAUAACCUUCAAAACUCCUUCAGGUGAAAGACUUUCUUGCGAUUGUGAUAUGAAGUGCAUUACUCUCUCACCUCUGCGUGCGACUUCUUGUAGAAGUCGAAGCAGCCUCUGCACGGCGAGGACACCAUGUCUCACCGCCUCCUCGAACUUUCUGAGGGAACGUUUUCUCUAAGGAUCUGGCAUUGAGACGAUGAUAAUAUUGUCACCUUCACCCACCACAGUCUGUGCAGACGGCUCUCUUUCACUUUCAUCCUCCAACAUUAUGUUUUAGUGCCACUAUUAAGGCAUUAUGAGUUUGCAUGAGUGUUUUCUUUCUGCAGGAGAAAAAGGCUGUGACUUCCCGGGUCACUUUGGGAAUUGUGUCUGAUUGCAGCUUGUGUGGUGAACUAUGAAGUACAUUUUCAAAGAGCUGUGCACAUUGCUCUGCGGGGAACUGCAGCGAGGACCGAGAUGAGGAGAAACAACACAAUGUUGAACAAUAAAAGCGAGGCAGUACAUGCUGAUUGCGGGAAUAUUUUGGCUCUCAGAAGAAAACAGAACAUCUGUCUCUUGAGGAGGGAAAUGUUGCAUCUUGAGAGGCGUAAACCUGCCUUUUAAAAACUGACCCUCCGUUUGAGUUUAAAUUGGAUGUAUACAGAAAUACUCUCAAAGACAAAAACAGAGAGAAGCACAUUUCUCUUGAUGAUUAAUAUAAAAAUAAUCUUCAAACUAUGGAUCCCACGCUGAAAUGUUGUUAGAUUUGCACCUCUUUCACAGUGUUACCUGCAUCAGUUAUUGUUAAUGCUGAGGUUAACGUUUCUCUCUCAUGAGCAAGCUGUUACUUGAGAGUGUGAAACUUAAUGUUUGGAGCCGUUCGCCUCAACAGCUGUGCCGUAGAUCUUCAAGUACGAGAUAAUAUAUUUUAUCUCAAGUAAUGCUGGGAAGGCAAGACAUUUUUAUUUCACUCAUUUAUAUUUUUAAUGGCGUGUGUUGUAAAAAUGUUUACCCAAAAUUAUUUUCAGUAAUUCAAGGCUCAUAAUAAGUCCAUUUAUUCGGCGGCUUUGUUGAUAUAAGACUGAAAAAGAAGGAGGAGACCCAGAUAAGUGGAGAGGAGAUAGAGAGCAGCACAAGUGGUACUUUACAGACUGUUUUUGUAAAGUUUUACCAUUUUUCGUAAAGAUAGAGUGUGUAGAAAUGGGAAUAUUUCGCAAUAUCCUGAGAGUGAAAGGCUCCCUUGCUUACCCCUCCUGGUAUGAAACUAUGGUGGCCUUUGAGGACAAGAAGCUGCUGUGAUACACGUGAAAUAUUAUCCUGCUUUUGCCAAGUUUGUACCAUCAAAUACUCACUCAUAUAUAAAGCUGAACGCAUAACAACAACACUGUUUUCUGGUACUUUUUCAGCUGCCACUCAAAAGGUAUUCUGUAGUCAGGCUUCUGUAGAAAUAUGGAAGUGCAAGAUGGUGGCAUCUAAGGAAAGGGUGUUUAUGCACUUAACAUUAUAUAAAUUAUAUCUUGAUUUAAUAUAUUAUUUAUUAUAUUAUAUUUAUUAUAUUAUUUAUUAUUUAUAUUUAUUUUAUAUAUUUUAUUUCCACCAAGUCUGUUCUGCUAAAUACCACAGACUGUGCCUUUAAAAACAUGACAAAAAACAAACAAAAAUGCCUGUAGCAGAUAGGCUAAAUAAGUGACUGGUCUGAAAACAUAGUGGGGCUAGCUAUGUAUAUUUAUUUAUUCAUCACGGUUUGUUUUAUGGUUUAUUUUAUUUUAUUUUGUUGCAGAAAGAGAGCGGUGGGCAGAGGGUUGAAGCAGCUGGGAAGCAGGCAGGUCCACGGCAGCGAUCCAGAGGAAGCUACGACAUGAUGGAGCACGGAAACUCCAAAAGAAGACAGUAAUUAUUGACUCUAAUGGGACGUGAUGAUUCAAAUUUAAUAACAGACAAAAAAGAGGAUGAAGAAGGGGAGAAAGACGCUCAAUGUGCAAGUAUCACCAACAGUCUAAACCUAACUGAGAGCUGAUCCAGACCGUAGACUGUAUAUAAAAUGGACAGCUGGGUGAGGCCAUCCUGAGAACAGCACCCUCUGGUGACAGGCUGCAGUAUAGGUCAUAAAUCCCGCCUCUACCAACUUUAGAAAUUUAUUACACAGAACAUAAAUUUUCUCCCCCCUGGUUGUGAUGUUGACAUGUAGUUACUGUCAGACUGGUUUGUGCUCAGGUCCUCUUUUUUCGGUGCAGCUCUGUUUUUAAAAGUUAUUAGGGGGUUCAUGUUUUCUACCAUUGACACUUGAUACAGCCUAUGAGCGUAUGAAGAUUGCAGAGCUUAACUGAGGGAUAUGCUGCUGUAUCCUGAUGAAUCACGGCAUCUAUUUUUGAGUUCAUUAGACACCUGCAGUGACCCCACAGCGGGAUCAAUCAGAGUGUUUCCUCAUUACAGAGCUACAGUGCUCAUCUACACAUGACAUGUAGUGCCGUAACUUCACAGGUUUUCUGGUGACUCAGGUACACCAAGACUCGACGCAGACUCGAAGUUUGAUGACUUAACACUUAAAGCAGUGAUUGUCUUUCUGAAGCCGCUCUGUGGGGUUUUCUGUUUAACAAGCAUACUUGUCACACACCUGCGCCGUCAGACUCAGGUUAGCUGGUUAUUUCACCGAAAUUGUUUGAAACAACAUCAGAAGGAUGCUGUAAUGUGGUACAGAAAUGCAUUCUCAUCCCCACGGACUUGUACAAUAAAAGGAAUCAACUUAUGAGAAAAGAAAAUGUUCCAGUGAGCCGCAAGAGUUCAAAAACUCUGCAGGGAACUUUUACAUAACAUGAAGGCCAUUUAUUUCUUGGCUUUUAUUUUAGGAGGAUACUGAGCUGAGUGAAAGUGACACAUUCUGAAAACACCCAGACUUUGCAGCUUCACGCCUGCUUUCACUUCAGACUCGACUACAGAAACUUUUCUUAUGAAAUGCCAUGACAGCUCUGUUAGACCCUCAAAGUUGAUAUUUAGUGGUGCGUUAGAUUUAAUUGCUGUCUGGCUUAAAAGUCAGGCUGCAAUGGGGAAAAUCUGUGUUUUGAUUUUGUUGUCAUCUUGAGCAGUGGCGUAAUCAGGCUGUUUGAGGGGCAGGGGCAAAAAGGGGGCACCGGCAUGUAAAAAUUCGUGAUUAAUGACCAGCUUUUUGCAGACCCUUGCAGAGGCUUUCAAUUUACUUUCUCUUCUGACUUCUAGAAACUGGAUCAUAGACUUGUCAGACUAACUAGCUGGCACACUGUAGCUGUUUGCAAGGAGGCUGAAGGUCAACUAAAAAUUGGAUUGGGCAGCAUUUCCAAUAUGGCGACAACCUCUGAUAGGCGUCAAAACUCAGUCAGACAAAACUGCUCAUAGGUUUCAGUUUCUGGUUAUUUUUUAGGAGUGAUAAUGAGGUAAAGACAGUUUAUAAAUCCUCAGUUUAAAAAAAAAAAAGAUAAUAAACAAGAAAAACUCUAUAACACGGUUGAAAUACUUUAUGUUCCAUGAUUAUUGAUAAGCAUAAAUGCUUUGAAAGCACAAUGACCGCAUUGGCAGAAUUGACAUGUCUUUAUCAGAUGAUUAUCAUGACCUUAAAAUAUUGCAAAAAUAAAAUCACUACGAUUAUUAUGGAGAACUUGAAUUAUACAACUCAAUCACUCAAACAACACUAGUAUGAGGGAACCAAUUACUCCACAAACUUAACUAGCAUCCACUAUUACCAAUUAUAUUCAUAUUUAGGAUUUCUUAACAAUCUCCAGCCCUGUGAAUUUCUGAAUUUCUUUAGAGGAAACUGAACCUCACUUUAAUCUUUUGCUUUUAUUUUGAUAUUUUUUACUGUCUAGUUUAGACUGCUUUAUUUCUUGCAUAGUCAAACUUUAAUCAAAAGUUUACAGCCUCUGGUAGAUCUUAAGUUGUAAACAGUAUAAUUGUUUAGAGCUGCUGCAGCUAGCUCACUGGCAGCCGGCGACUUCUUCUUCAUUGAGGUGACAUGGUUUAUGACAUACCUGUCAAGUUUGGGAUUUCAAAGUAAGGGAAAUUUUCCAACUGUCUCUCCAAUCUAAACUCUAUCACUAAGGUUUCCCGGCCAAAACGGUUUAAGAUGUCGACAACCAGAAUGAUGAACCAGUGCUGUGAACUUACUAAGUUACCUUCGGCUUUUAUUUUGCAUAUUGAUAUUUAAUCUUUUUGAAACAACAGUUAUUGUCAAUACUGGUGUAUCAUAAUUGCCUUACAAAACACCACUAAACUUUAGGUAAACUACGAUUCAGGUUAUGACGGCAGCAGCAUCAUUUUUUUCGACUUAUAAGUAUUUUAUUGAAUGUUGCAUCUAUUCAUAUAUUAAGGAUCUGUAUUGCAAACUAAUUAAAAGAGGUAAUUUCAACCUUGCACUUUGGGUAAUUAACUGGAAUUAUAAAUUAUUUAAAAAAAUCUAUUACCUGCUUUAAUCAGCAUUUGCUUUGACUCAAAUUUCCAGGCAUAUGAAUAAAAAGGAAUGGGUGUGAGAGAGAGAGAGAGAGAAAGAGUUUUGGCUAUUACAUUGAAUGGUCUUUUUUCAUUUUUUAACUCAAGGCCAGGAUCUGACUCCCCUCUGAGCUGAAAGGAUCGCCACGUCAUUCAGUCCUAUUUCAGUAUCACAGAGCUGUGAUCACUGAGCUCCUGUCUGAGCAUCUGAUCAUCAAAAUAAGAGGUCUGAGAUAAUCCUUAUCGCCAAAGCCCAAAAGUCAAAGCUAGUCUUAUCUUUUUCAAUUCCUUCUGGCACAAAACAUAGAAUAAAAUUAUCUGCAGACACUUUUUAGCGCUGAGCUUAAUAUCCUUAAAAAAUUGCAGAAAUACUGCCGCUGUCUAUUUUUUUUCCUAAUCUAUUGUCUACCCUUUGACUUCUAUAUUUUCCUUCACUGUCUGAUGGAUGGAUUAUGAUGGCCGCCUGAGCAUGAAGAAAUUCAAUUCAGGCCCACCUCCCUGUUCCCUCUUGGACUUGUGGUUUAAUGAAAAUCUCAAAGUUUUGGGCUGAAUCAAGCGCCGGCUUGCUGGUGGGGUUACACGGAGUCUUGGAGCGUAACAUUUCGCACAGAUGUUACUGAGGAUUGUUGUGAUGCAAGGAUAAUUUCAGAUGUAAUCACUAUGCAGAGAAAUAAUGACAGAAGUUAAAGACCAGGCACACUGCUGCAUGAUAGGGCUUACACUCAGUUUCAUUAAAUGCUGAAGAGGGAAUCCCUGCAGGUAGGGCGCAAUCACAACAUUUGUAUGCCGUGGCACCCCCGCUCUGAUACAGUAAAAAAAAAAAAAAAGAAAGGAAGCUGAUGAGGUUUGAUCAAACAAGCUAAAAUACAUGUUUUUCCAAGCAGCUGCUAAGUCAGACUAGCGAACAGCACAGCGUCUCCUCGAAUAUGGUCAAAACUUCCAUUCAUCCCUCCUGACCAGUUUUCCCCUCAGCUCCUCCUCUCUCCUCCCUCUCUGCUCCAGCAAGCCCCGCCCACAAACAGACGCUCCUGCUCGCUCGUAUCGUUUCAAUUAAAUUAAAUAAUAUAAUGCAGAUAAAUACUUCAGAUAAUUACAAAUGGGGCCCAGUCAACAUGAAAGUAAACGGCAUUGGUGCUACUGUAGAUGCAAACAGACUACCAGCAAACACAAUGUUUGCAGGACUUCUACAACUAGGAUAAAGUGACAUAGUCCAGGACCAGAGAUCAACAGUUUUUACUUUCCAAGCGUGUUGACCCGGCUUUUUAGCUCUUGUCCAGUCUACCUCCUUUUUAAGCACCAGUUAUUCUGCCAGAGUCUCUGGUAU